ensembl:scaRNA
GGUCGAUGAUGACUGGUAAAAGGUCUGAUGCACCGAAUAUCACAGUCCCCUCUCUGCCCUCGGCUCCCAGCAGCCCAUUGUGUUUCCCGGCACGGUUAAGUUGUGUGCCCGGGAUAGUGGAGCAGCUGAUACGCAGGGACCCUGUCGUGUGUGUUUCUGAGAGUGAGCGACUCACAGCCGACCCAGGUCCAACAUGACCACCUCACAGGAGCAUGAGGAGUGGCAGGAUGCUGUGAUGGUGCAUGAUCUCAAGUUUUCAAUCUGAGACC